UUUUGUUAUUUUAAUUGAUUUUGUUUCAAUUAUGUUAAAAUUUCCUCCAUCAAUUCAAAGCGCUUAUAACAAAAAUGAAACAAUAUUUGAUAUUUGUAACAAAUCUUUUGAUAUAAUUGUGCUACAGUUUUGUUGUAAUCCACUGGUCGGGUUUACUCAUAGACUUAGGCCGUCUUUCAGGUCUUUUAGUUUCAGAGCAAAAUUUGAUUUCUGUCUUGCGAUUUCAAGACUAACCUAAGUUAGACGCAAUGUUAACGAUACCGAAAACCUUCUUGCGCUUAUCUACACCAACCUUUAUCCACGGUAUCGGACCUUAGCAUUGGUCCUAUGCUAUGCUGAUUACUAUGCCUGUCAAAUGAAAUCAAACACAGUAGGCGGUAGCCAAUCGGAAGCUAAUCUUAUUAGGAAUAAAGCAAACACAAUUUUUCCGCAUCGGUUCGGAAUUGUUUUGGUUUGAGUUCCUUUAAAAAGUCCCGUUCCCGGUGCAGUGGACAUCAGUCAACCGUUGGUCCCUUUUGCCUUACGAUAGUUUUGUGUAAAAAUCUGCCUCGAAGAAAAUGAAUUUCAAAAUUUUUGCCCUUCUGGCGGUGGCCAUGUUGGCUGUGAUCCAUCUCAGCUACGCUGCCGAGGCGGAAGAAGAAGAAGCGUUGGAGGAAAUGCUUUACAAGCGAGAGGCAAAUAAUAAUAAUAACAACCAGAACAAUAA